UACGAAGGGGACUAGCGUUGUUCGGAAUCACUGGGCGUAAAGCGCACGUAGGCGGAUGUGUCAGUCAGGGGUGAAAUCCCGGGGCUCAACCUCGGAACUGCCUUUGAUACAGCACGUCUCGAGUCCGGAAGAGGUGGGUGGAAUUCCUAGUGUAGGGGUGAAAUUCGUAGAUAUUAGGAAGAACACCGGUGGCGAAGGCGGCCCACUGGUCCGGUACUGACGCUGAGGUGCGAAAGCGUGGGGAGCAAACAGG
rnacentral:rRNA from 1 species